rnacentral:rRNA from 1 species
GAUGAACGCUGGCGGCGUGCCUAAUACAUGCAAGUCGAGCGAACGGACGAGGAGCUUGCUUUUCUGAUGUUAGCGGCGGACGGGUGAGUAACACGUGUAUAACCUACCUAUAAGACUGGGAUAACUUCGGGAAACCGGAUCUAAUACCGUAUAAUAUUUUGAACCGCAUGGUUCAAAAGUGAAAGACGGUCUUUCUGUCACUUAUAGAUGGUUCCGCGCUUCAUUAGCUAGUUGGGAAGGUAACGGCUUACCAAGGCAACGAUGCAUAGCCGACCUGAGAGAGUGAUAGGCGACACUGGAGCGGAGACACGGUCAAGACUACUAAGGGAGGCAGCAGUCGCGUACGUGAGGCAGCGGGCGAAAGCCUGACGGAGCAACGCCGAGUCAGUGAUGACGGCCUUCGGAUCGUAAAAAUCUGUUACUAGGGAAGAACAUAUGUGUAAGGAAAUGAGCACAGAUUGACGGUACCUAAUAAGAAAGCACCGGCUAACUACGUG